AUUGAACGCUGGCGGCAUGCUUUACACAUGCAAGUCGAACGGCAGCGCGGGCUUCGGCCUGGCGGCGAGUGGCGAACGGGUGAGUAAUACAUCGGAACGUGCCCAGGAGUGGGGGAUAGCCCGGCGAAAGCCGGAUUAAUACCGCAUACGACCUGAGGGCGAAAGCGGGGGAUCGUCGGAACUUGUGCUAUUGGAGCGGCCGAUGGCCGAUUAGCUAGUUGGUGGGGUAAAGGCCUAACAAGGCGACGAUCUGUAGCUGGUCUGAGAGGACGACCAGCCACACUGGAACUGAGACACGGCCCAGACUCCUACGGGAGGCAGCAGUGGGGAAUUUUGGACAAUGGGCGAAAGCCUGAUCCAGCAAUGCCGCGUGUGUGAUGAAGGCCUUCGGGUUGUAAAGCACUUUUGGCGGGAACGAAAAGGACUGUGCCAAUACCACGGUUCGAUGACGGUACCCGCAGAAUAAGCACCGGCUAACUACGUG
rnacentral:rRNA from 1 species